rnacentral:rRNA from 1 species
AUACGAAGGGAGCUAGCGUUGUUCGGAAUUACUGGGCGUAAAGGGCGCGUAGGCGGUUUAACAAGUCAGGUGUGAAAGCCCUGGGCUCAACCCAGGAACUGCGCUUGAGACUGUUUAACUUGAAUUCGGUAGAGGUUGGUGGAAUUCCCAGUGUAGAGGUGAAAUUCGUAGAUAUUGGGAGGAACACCCGUGGCGAAGGCGACUCUCUGGACCAAUACUGACGCUGAGACGCGAAAGCGUGGGGAGC